CGACUGGCGUCUGACUGAGACUGCGCAGACGCCAGCUACGGAAGUUUACGGUUGCCUAGUAACCUUAAUCAACUGUACCCGUAACGCUACCGUGUUUUAGGUCCAAUGCAGAACCCAGGAGAUGAGGAUGGAAGGGAGGAAAGCUCCACCCGAAAUGAGACAGGGCCCAACCUGCAGGAUGGAAGUGACGACGCAGAAGAAGACAGUGGAGCGACUGCCUCACAUGUUCCAGAGGUUCAGUCACUGCCACAGCCAGAGAGCUCUGCUGCCCAGCAUUACCCUGACCUCACUGUAGUGGAUGAAAACCUCCCUGCGGCCAUAAAUUUAAUGCAAGAGGAUGUUGCUCAGGUGGCUCACCGUUCACACACAUCGGAGGAGAUGGAGGAUGAUGAGCCACUGCCAGAAGACGAGGAGGAGGAGUUAAUCGUUCUUGAUCCUGAGCAUCCUGUGGUCAGAAGACAACAAGCUGCUCUGACAAUCCAGCUUAGAAAACAGCUGGAGAGGAUCAACCAGGCACUGAGGGAAAAGCAUGCAGUUGCAAAGGAUGAUGCUAGCCACAAUCAGGAAUUAGGUGUGGAGGUCUUCAGGCUUCAGGAGCAGCUGGUCAGACAGCAGAACAGGCUGCAUGACCUUCAUGAGACCAAGACACAGGCUGAAGCCAAACACCAGCAGGCUCUGAACCAGCUGGAGGAGAUAAAGAGUCAACAUUCCAGCAUGACCAGAAAGGUCUGUGAAGCCAGAGCCAAUGUGUCCCAGCUACAGGCACAGUUAGACAGCAUGACACAGUAUCUCAUCUUCAUCCAAGGAGUCAGCGAAGGUCUGCGCUCUGAAGUCAAAACCAUGAAUAACGCUAGACGCAAAGCAGGAGCUGAGAAGACCCAGGCAGAAGACCAGAAAUUAAAGCAGGAUUUAUAUGUGGAGAGACUAACAAAGGAGCUGGACAGGCUGACGCAGCAGAUAGCCAUGUAUGAGGCCAAAACCAGUGCUCAAGCAGAGGAGACACAGACAGCCAAAGAGGCUCUCUCAGAGGCUGAGAUGGAGAUGGAGUCACUGUUGGUGGCCCGUAAACAGCUGCUGCAGCAGUGGAACAGCUGCCUCAUGGGGUUGAGGAGACGAGACGAGGCCUUUGGUGCGAUGCAGGAAGUCAUCCGUGAAACCAAACACCAGGUGAUCUUGCUGGACAAGGACAUUGAUGGCUACAAGAAAUCCAUCAAUGCAGAGCAGGAGCAAAAUGAGAUACUGACACUGCAGCUGAACUGGUCUCAAAUGGACUGCACCACUACCAGAAAGCUCAUCAGUGACAAGCAGGCUCAGCAAGAAUCCCUGCAGGCCCACUACAGCACAUUCCUCCUCACUCUCCAGGAGACAGAGCGGACCCUCGCUAGACUCUCAAAGGAAUUUGGGUCACACCAGGGUCAAGUGAACGAUCAGAGUAAGCAGCUGGAGAAAGAGAGUUCUGCGCGUCUGGAGCUGGAAAACAACAUCAUGAGCUCCAUGCAGCAUAAGCUCCUCCACAACAGCGCUGCCAAGUACUCCCAACUGCUCACCGAGAAGAUAUCCAGACUCAAAAAAGAGAAGAUGUACCAGUUGAAGCAGUCAGAGGAGGAGGUGUUGGUGGUGAAGCUGGAGAGCCAGCUGGUCAGCCAGCGAGUGGACAGCCUGGCCCUGACUCAGGAGGCCCUUGAUCAGGAGAUCGCAAAGUCCAACAAGUUAAUCACAGCCAUUCAGGCUAAGGUUACUUCAUCUGUUAGAGUCAUCGAGCAGAAGCAGUCAACAAUCAUCGGAUACAACAAGAAGAUUUCUCAAAUAGCUGCCAGCACUGGGCAUGAUGACCUCGGUCCUCUGCACAUCAAGAUACAGUCAAUAAUAGCUCAGAUUGAGGAGCUGGCAGCAAAUAUAAAGAGCUACCAGCAGCUGUGGAUGAAGCGACAGGGGAUACUGAUGGGACUGACCCAAACGAUAGAAGCCAACAGCAAGGAGCUGCUCAAACUGCAGACGGAGUACACAGGAUGGCAACAGACGAAACUCUACUUUGAGAGUCAGAUAGAAUCAGAGCACCGCGAGGAGGCUGAGCUGGAGAAGAGCUCAAAGAUGCUGAAGCGUGAUCAGCUGAAGCUCAACAUGCUGCUCAGUAGGAAAGGACAACUGAGCCAGGCUCUGCAGCAGGAGAACGCCGUGAUGGAGACAGAUUUCAUUCACAGACUUAAGGAUGCAGAGAGGGAGGCCGUUAAGAUGCAGAUGAAACUCGAGAAGACGCAGGAGGAAAAAGAGAGGCUCCUCAACAGUCUGGUGGAAGCUGAGCGGCAAAUCAUGCUGUGGGAAAAGAAGACGCAGCUUGUAAAAGAGAUGCAUUCAGCUAUGGAUGUGGGGCAGGGAGAAAGCCACACGAUGAAAGCUGAAAUACAUCGUAUGGAGGCGCGACUCAGCCAGCUAAUGAAGCAACGAGAGUGCCUGCUGAGGGAAAGCGAAGCAACAGUGGCGAGAAGGGAAACCAUCGUCUUGCGCAAGGAGGCCAUGAUGAGGAACUCCCUCAAACAGGCUACACAGGGUGACCUGAGCCUCUCUAUACAGGGCCUACAGCGCAAGAUCCGGGAAGCACACAAGCAAGUGGUAGAGUAUGAGCAAGUGAUUGGGGAGCUACAAAAACAGAAGGAGAGUUUGAGAGACAGGAUCGCGCAGAAGAAGACUCAUCUCACAGAACUGUGCAGCACCAGUUACAUCCUCGACUCUGACUUUGUUAAUCUUCAGGACACCAAAGAAAGGAACCUAGCACACCUAGUGGCUCUGCAGAGUCGGGCCAAGAGGUUGCGGACAGUGUGUGAAGGCAGCUAUCGAGCAGUGUCCACCCCCGAAUCCGUGGAAGCCGCUCUGCAGAGGCAGACGGAGCGCUUGCAUGCCAUCAGCACCAUCUUGCACCGUGUAUGUGAGGAGUUCCCCCAACAUCAGGGGGCGCUCCGCAGGCUGUCACGAGCACUGUCUGAACAUGCAAAGGCUGUGGAAUAGGAAACAUCCCGAAGUGAUGGAGGAAGGACGCAGGAAGGAAAAUGCACAGGACUGACAUUUCUGUUUGCUUUUACAUUGGAGAAAUUAUAAAAAUGAUAUAUACUUCAAACAGUGUUCAGUAACUCAGAAGCACUCAAGAAAUAGUAAAAGCACACUCAUGACCAGGUGAGUGAACUGCCUUUGUUCAGCUCAGUCCUGGAAGAAAUUCAUGCAUUUUGUUGUAACAGUCAACUUCAUCAGGCUAAGGCAGCCACAUUAACACUUUCAGUGAAGGUAAAGUGGAAUCUUUAACAAAUUUCUGAAAAACCAGGGGCGACCGAGCCUUUUCCCUCACAAAUUGUGGCAUGAUCUCCCUGCCCAGCACCCUUGUUAUCUUAAAAAUAUAUCUUAAAACUCUUUUUAUUCUUUGGCUUUUAAUUCCAAAUGAGAGUGGUGUGCCCUUUUAUUUUAUUUACAGUAGUAUUUUUAUCACUGUUGUUAUUGCUGAUUUUUUGUGUAGUGUUUUGGGGAUUUGUACAGCACUUUGUCAAACUUGUGUUUUUAAAAAAGUGAUGUAAAUAAAUAUAUACAGUAUGAAUCAUAAAA